GUCUAUGGCCAUGCUACCCUGAACAAGCCCGAUCCCGGCUGAUCUCGGAAGCUAAGCAGGGUUGGGUCUGGUUAGUAUUUGGACGGGAGACCAUCUAGGAAGAUCAUGUGCUAUAGGCG
rnacentral:rRNA from 1 species